AGAAAAGGUGGGAAUAAUCCUUCUCUCCCCUCCUUAUCCUCUCCCCACGCCACUCUCCCUGGCAUCUUCCCACCGCCGCCCCUCUCAUCUCCCUCACGCCCUCUCUCUGGUGCUGCAGCUCGCCCCCCCCUCUGCUCACCAUCUCCUCCCUGGUUCCCAUGGCGCCCUCCCCUUCUUGGUGGCCGACGCCCCUCCCUCCAUGGAGCUCGCCUCUGCCAUGACCGCCCUCUGCCCCCUCCCUUGCUGUUCUUAUGGCAGCCCCUCUCCAUGCCAAGCUCGCCCUCCUUCUGUGCCCAACCCUAGCUCGCCCCAGCCCCUCUCCCUGGCUUCCCUUGCUCUGUUUUCCCCCAGCCCUAGCCGAGCUCGCCCCUGCCCUAAGUUCUCAAGGCAGCCCCUCUGUGUUUUCCAUGGCCGGCACCCUCCCCAUCUUUUGUAGAUUGGAAGAAAGGAUUCCUGUGAGUGUGAGAAGAAGCAAAUCCCAGCAUAACGCAUGCUAGGUGUUCGACGAAAUGUUCAAAUUGGGAUUGUCGUUGAUAUUGUGGAUCUGAGUCGCGCUUUGUAUUGGUGUGUCGUGGUGAAUAUCUCUAGAUCCGCGACUAUGUCUGUGUGUUUUGUUCUAUGGUGACGUCAGGAAAGUAUCUUUCCUCUCUUUCCCUUGUCUUUGUGAUGCUUUGUUGUAUGCCAUAUGUUUGGUGAAUGAAUAUGUAUAGAAGGAUUAAAUUGUUUAGGCAUAUGCAUAGCAUGAAUAAAAUGAGUUCUUCUUGUGUGAUGAUAUACUGUAUGGAAUGUGCUUGAUUGGAUAUAUGUGUAUGCAAAGUAUGAUUAAUUAGUUCUUUGUUUGCAUGAAGUGAGAGUAGAUUUAAAAAUACUAGGUUAUAUGAAUUGAAUGGAUUCAUGGUUAUAAUGUAUAAGUAAUCUAUAUAUGUGAUUAGGAAGUGUCAAGCAUGAAAGUUGUAGAAGUAAAUAUGAACCCAAUUGGAAUGUUUGCUGUUUGGACUGCGUGUACAGUUUUGAUUGUGCAACUAAUCUAGUGAAGCAAAUCAUAUUUCCUGUGAAAAUGUUAUAUAUAAAAGUUGUAGAUAACCUCCUUAUCUUGCUCAUGCUAAAAUUUCAUUACCAUAGGCCCAAUAAUCUGAAAGUUUUGCUUCUCCCAAGUUCAGUAUCAGAAUCUGUCCAGAUUCUGUACAGAUUUCGAAAAUGGCCUUGUUUGCCCAAGUUAAACUUAGAAUCAGUUCUU